rnacentral:rRNA from 1 species
UACGUAGGGGGCAAGCGUUGUCCGGAUUUAUUGGGCGUAAAGAGCUCGUAGGCGGCUUGUUGCGUCGGCUGUGAAAUCCCGUGGCUUAACUGCGGGCUUGCAGCUGAUACGGGCGGGCUGGAGUUCGGUAGGGGAGACUGGAAUUCCUGGUGUAGCGGUGAAAUGCGCAGAUAUCAGGAGGAACACCGGUGGCGAAGGCGGGUCUCUGGGCCGAUACUGACGCUGAGGAGCGAAAGCGUGGGGAGCGAACAGG